GGGGAAUAUUGGACAAUGGGCGCAAGCCUGAUCCAGCAAUGCCGCGUGUGUGAAGAAGGUUUUCGGAUCGUAAAGCACUUUCGGCGGGGACGAUGACGACGGUACCCGCAGAAGAAGCCCCGGCUAACUUCGUGCCAGCAGCCGCGGUAAUACGAAGGGGGCUAGCGUUGCUCGGAAUUACUGGGCGUAAAGGGCGCGUAGGCGGCUUGGCCAGUCAGGCGUGAAAUUCCUGGGCUCAACCUGGGGACUGCGCUUGAUACUGCUGAGCUUGAGGCCGAGAGAGGGUGGUGGAAUUCCCAGUGUAGAGGUGAAAUUCGUAGAUAUUGGGAAGAACACCGGUGGCGAAGGCGACCACCUGGCUCGGUACUGACGCUGAGGCGCGACAGCGUGGGGAGCAAAC
rnacentral:rRNA from 1 species